CCUACGGGUGGCAGCAGUGGGGGAUAUUGCACAAUGGGGGGAACCCUGAUGCAGCGACGCCGCGUGAGCGAAGAAGUACCUCGGUAUGUAAAGCUCUAUCAGCAGGGAAGAAAAUGACGGUACCUGACUAAGAAGCCCCGGCUAAAUACGUGCCAGCAGCCGCGGUAAUACGUAUGGGGCAAGCGUUAUCCGGAUUUACUGGGUGUAAAGGGAGCGCAGGCGGCCUGCCAAGUCUGGUGUGAAAACCCGGGGCUCAACCCCGGGCCUGCAUUGGAAACUGGCGGGCUGGAGUGUCGGAGGGGCAGGCGGAAUUCCUAGUGUAGCGGUGAAAUGCGUAGAUAUUAGGAGGAACACCGGUGGCGAAGGCGGCCUGCUGGACGAUGACUGACGCUGAGGCUCGAAAGCGUGGGGAGCAAACAGGAUUAGAUACCCGGGUAGUC
rnacentral:rRNA from 1 species